rnacentral:rRNA from 1 species
UACGGAGGGUGCAAGCGUUAUCCGGAUUCACUGGGUUUAAAGGGUGCGUAGGUGGGCUGGUAAGUCAGUGGUGAAAUCUCCAGGCUUAACUUGGAAACUGCCAUUGAUACUAUCAGUCUUGAAUACCGUGGAGGUCAGCGGAAUAUGUCAUGUAGCGGUGAAAUGCUUAGAUAUGACAUAGAACACCAAUUGCGAAGGCAGCUGGCUACACGAAUAUUGACACUGAGGCGCGAAAGCGUGGGGAGCAAACAGG